UUUUUUCUGUAAGAAACUAAUUUCCACAGAUGUUGUAGGUCCUCCAAGAACUUCCAUGAGUAAAGACCUGAACAUCUACCAGCGUUAUCAAUGGUUUGUUGCAACACUACUGAUACAGUGUAGCGUCCUACAGGUCCAGGGAGCAUAGUUCUGUAGAGAAAUAAUUUUCAAAGAUGAUCUAGGACCUCCUAGAACUUCCACAAGUAAAGGCCUUAAAAUUUAUAAGCGCAAUCAAUGGAAGUUCCCAAGAACUUCCGUGAGUAUAGACCUGAAGAUCUACAAGCGUUAUCAAUGGUUUGUCCAGGGAACAUAGUUCUGUUGAGAAAUAAUUGCCGAACAUCUUCUAGGUACUCCAAGAACUUCCAUGAGUAAAAGCCUGAAGAUCCACAAGCAUAAUCAAUGGAUUGUUGUUACACUACUUUUUUUAUCUGGUUCAUUUAUUUGGGGCUCAAUCGCGUAGAACGCUUUACGGAGCCGAGGAUCUUUCUUUGUACUUAAUAGCAGUGUUGAAAAAUUCAUUUCGUCAUAUCUAAAUUCAAUCACCUACAGCUCAUUUUAGAAACUGAACCUGAGAAUAUGGUAUAUGAAAAACUUGUGCAGCUAGACCAGUUCUGCAAGAAAGUCACGGAAAAACUGCUAUUUUUCGAAUAUUUAAGGUAAAUGUCACGG